GACGAACGCUGGCGGCGUGCCUAAUACAUGCAAGUAGAACGCUGAAGAGAGGAGCUUACUCUUCUUGGAUGAGUUGCGAACGGGUGAGUAACGCGUAGGUAACCUGCCUUGUAGCGGGGGAUAACUAUUGGAAACGAUAGCUAAUACCGCAUAACAAUGGAUGACACAUGUCAUUUAUUUGAAAGGGGCAAUUGCUCCACUACAAGAUGGACCUGCGUUGUAUUAGCUAGUAGGUGAGGUAAUGGCUCACCUAGGCGACGAUACAUAGCCGACCUGAGAGGGUGAUCGGCCACACUGGGACUGAGACACGGCCCAGACUCCUACGGGAGGCAGCAGUAGGGAAUCUUCGGCAAUGGGGGCAACCCUGACCGAGCAACGCCGCGUGAGUGAAGAAGGUUUUCGGAUCGUAAAGCUCUGUUGUAAGUCAAGAACGGGUGUGAGAGUGGAAAGUUCACACUGGGACGGUAGCUACCAGAAAGGGACGGCUAACUACGUG
rnacentral:rRNA from 1 species